rnacentral:rRNA from 1 species
CGUAGGUGGCAAGCGUUGUCCGGAAUCAUUGGGCGUAAAGCGCGCGCAGGCGGUCCCUUAAGUCUGAUGUGAAAGCCCACGGCUCAACCGUGGAGGGUCAUUGGAAACUGGGGGACUUGAGUGCAGAAGAGGAAAGCGGAAUUCCAAGUGUAGCGGUGAAAUGCGUAGAGAUUUGGAGGAACACCAGUGGCGAAGGCGGCUUUCUGGUCUGUAACUGACGCUGAGGCGCGAAAGCGUGGGGAGCAAACAGGAUU